GACGUAGGGCGCGAGCGUUGUCCGGAUUUAUUGGGCGUAAAGAGCUCGUAGGCGGCUUGUCGCGUCAACUGUGAAAACCCGUGGCUCAACCAUGUGGUCUGCAGUCGAUACGGGCAGGCUAGAAUUCGGUAGGGGAGACUGGAAUUCCUGGUGUAGCGGUGAAAUGCGCAGAUAUCAGGAGGAACACCGAUGGCGAAGGCAGGACUCUGGGCCACUACUGACGCUGAGAAGCGAAAGCGUGGGGAGCGAACAGG
rnacentral:rRNA from 1 species